GAUUAGGUAGCGAAACUAUUUAUAUAUUUAAUCUGGGAGUUACACUUUUUUCAGGAAGAUAAUAAAUAGCAGUAAGCUAGCAUUCCUUACUAUGUUUUUAGACGCUACGGCAUUUAGAAUUUUAUUCAGCCAACACUUUCUGAGCUGAAUAAGUUCUUUGACAUUUAGCGCUUAAUUUAACUGUCAGUUUCUUUAGCUGAAACAAAUUCUUUGACAAUCAGCUGUCGCUCUCUUAAUUAAUUCGCUUAGAACGAACCGUUAAUCUUUGCCUUGACUGCGAGCUAAUAAUACGAUGUACUUAGUGCCAAAAAUUCCAGUCUAUCGCGACAAUUAUUACCUAUUAUUAUUCCAGUUCAAGCCCGUUCGUACCACAUUGAAUCCCUCAACUCUAUUCAAAUACAAACAACAGAAGAUAUCUCUACAAAAUCGAAGGAACUCAUCGCUGUGGGUUGGAAGUUGAAAAUAUAUGCUUGUAUAUUUUCCUGUCUAAAUAUAGGAGUAAGCUGGUCAAAGGCAAUGAAAUGUUGCAGGUUCGACUGACAUAUGGAAUUUUCAAGCACAGAAAUGUGAACCAUUUUCCGUGAAACAAGAACCGUCUGCGAAUAUGUAGUCUGUAUAAUUGUGUGUAUUCGAAAGCCUGGCUCCAGCCGCAUCGUGAAAUUUUCAAUAAGUGCAAUGCCGCUAAUGGUGCAGCAGUUGCAACUCAUAGAUACAUGCUCGAUACUGUAUGAUUUGCUCAUAUUAACUUACCACUGCCGAACGGCACGUAGCAUAGCACAACAAUGAUAAUUGUAAAACUGUAUUGUGAAAAUUUCGAGGCGAAUGAAUUAUUAAUAAGUUGUGUAUAAAAUGUAUAAUACAGAAUGUAUCAAGUGCCCUUUACUAAUGAAUUAAAAUGGUUAGAAAAAGUAAUAAAA